rnacentral:rRNA from 1 species
UGGGGAAUAUUGGGCAAUGGAGGAAACUCUGACCCAGCAACGCCGCGUGAGUGAUGAAGGUCUUCGGAUUGUAAAACUCUUUAAGUGGGGAAGAAGAAAGUGACGGUACCCACAGAAUAAGCCUCGGCUAACUACGUGCCAGCAGCCGCGGUAAUACGUAGGAGGCAAGCGUUAUCCGGAAUGACUGGGCGUAAAGGGUGCGUAGGUGGUCUGGCAAGUUGGCAGCGUAAUCCCGGAGCUCAACUUCGGUGCUACUGUCAAAACUGUCAGGCUUGAGUGCAGGAGGGGCAUAUGGAAUUCCUAGUGUAGCGGUGGAAUGCGUAGAUAUUAGGAAGAACACCAGUGGCGAAGGCGAUAUGCUGGACUGUAACUGACACUGAGGCACGAAAGCGUGGGGAGCAAACAGG